AUGAACGCUGGCGGCGUGCCUAAUACAUGCAAGUCGAGCGAACAGAUGAGGAGCUUGCUCCUCUGACGUUAGCGGCGGACGGGUGAGUAACACGUGGAUAACCUACCUAUAAGACUGGGAUAACUUCGGGAAACCGGAGCUAAUACCGGAUAAUAUAUUGAACCGCAUGGUUCAAUAGUGAAAGACGGUUUUGCUGUCACUUAUAGAUGGAUCCGCGCCGCAUUAGCUAGUUGGUAAGGUAACGGCUUACCAAGGCAACGAUGCGUAGCCGACCUGAGAGGGUGAUCGGUCACACUGGAACUGAGACACGGUCCAGACUCCUACGGGAGGCAGCAGUAGGGAAUCUUCCGCAAUGGGCGAAAGCCUGACGGAGCAACGCCGCGUGAGUGAUGAAGGUCUUCGGAUCGUAAAACUCUGUUAUUAGGGAAGAACAAAUGUGUAAGUAACUAUGCACGUCUUGACGGUACCUAAUCAGAAAGCCACGGCUAACUACGUG
rnacentral:rRNA from 1 species